rnacentral:lncRNA from 1 species
CCUCUUCGAUUUUUGAGAAAGCAAUCAUGCUGGGGGUCUGGCUCUCGAGAUUCGGAGAGCAGUGUCUCUUCGAUUUUUGAGGAAGUAAUCAUGUUGGGAGUCUGGCUCUCGAGAUUCGGAAGGCGGUGCCUCUUCGAUUUUGGAGCAAGCAAUCCUGUUGGGAGUGUUGUUUCGAAUGUGAGUAAAGGUUGGGCAUGUUUGCUAGUCUACCUUGCCACGAAGCACAAAGGUUGACACACAGGGACUUUCCAAUUAUCCAGCAAUGGUACUGUUCCUUUACCCUCUCUUCGCUUUUGAGAAAGUAGUCAUGUUGGGAGUCUGGCUCUCGAGAUUCGGAGGACGGUGCCUCUUCGAUUUUGGAGCAAGCAAUCUUGUUGGGAGUGUUUUCUCGAAUGUGAGUAAAGGUUGAGCAUGUUUGCUAGUCUACCUUGCCACGAAGCACAGAGGUUGACACACAGGGACUUUCCAAUUAUCCAGCAGUGGUACUGUUCCU